UACGUAGGUGGCAAGCGUUGUCCGGAUUUACUGGGCGUAAAGAGCGCGCAGGCGGUUAUUCAAGUCGAAUGUGAAAGCCCCCGGCUUAACUGGGGAGGGUCAUUCGAUACUGUUUAACUUGAAGGCAGGAGAGGGUAGUGGAAUUCCCGGUGUAGUGGUGAAAUGCGUAGAUAUUGGGAGGAACACCAGUGGCGAAGGCGGCUACCUGGACCGGUUCUGACGCUGAUGCGCGAAAGCGUGGGUAGCAAACAGG
rnacentral:rRNA from 1 species